rnacentral:misc_RNA from 1 species
AAGUCUCUCCGUUGGUGAAGGAACA